rnacentral:rRNA from 1 species
AGAUUGAACGCUGGCGGCAUGCCUAACACAUGCAAGUCGAACGGGAGUAGCAAUACUCUAGUGGCGGACGGGUGAGGAAUACGUAGGAAUUUGCCCUUAAGUGGGGGAUAACCCGGGGAAACCCGGAUUAAUACCGCAUGACCUCGAAAGAGCAAAGUGGGGGAUCGCAAGACCUCACGCUUUUGGAGAAGCCUACGUCGGAUUAGCUAGUUGGUGAGGUAAUGGCUCACCAAGGCGACGAUCCGUAACUGGUCUGAGAGGAUGAUCAGUCACACCGGAACUGAGACACGGUCCGGACUCCGUACGGGAGGCAGCAGUGGGGAAUAGUUGGACAAUGGGCGCGAAGCCUGAUCCAGCAA